GAUGAACGCUGGCGGCGUGCCUAAUACAUGCAAGUCGAGCGAACGGACGAGAAGCUUGCUUCUCUGAUGUUAGCGGCGGACGGGUCAGUAACACGUGGAUAACCUACCUAUAAGACUGGGAUAACUUCGGGAAACCGGAGCUAAUACCGGAUAAUAUUUUGAACCGCAUGGUUCAAAAGUGAAAGACGCUCUUGCUGUCACUUAUAGAUGGAUCCGCGCUGCAUUAGCUAGUUGGUAAGGUAACGGCUUACCAAGGCAACGAUGCAUAGCCGACCUGAGAGGGUGAUCGGCCACACUGGAACUGAGACACGGUCCAGACUCCUACGGGAGGCAGCAGUAGGGAAUCUUCCGCAAUGGGCGAAAGCCUGACGGAGCAACGCGGCGUGAGUGAUGAAGGUCUUCGGAUCGUAAAACUCUGUUAGUAGGGAAGAACAUAUGUGUAAGUAACUGUGCUCAUCUUGACGGUACCUAAUCAGAAAGCCACGGCUAACUACGUG
rnacentral:rRNA from 1 species